rnacentral:rRNA from 1 species
AAUGUCAAUUCUCCUCCCCGAAACUCAGUGAGCUGAUCUUUACUUGCUUAGAGCCCAGUAUAUAAUGUAACAAUAUUAUUAUAAAAGUAAAUAUCAGAGGCUACAUACCUACCGCACUGAAAUAUAGCUGGUUUUUCAGUCUCCAGUCUAAUCUGCUCAAGCUACUAUUCUUCUCCCCCUCUAUAGCUAUGAAAAAAAAUUAAGGACAAGCUUAAUUUUUUACUUUAUUUAACAAAAAUUAACUCAACUAAGUAGGCUUAAAAUCAGCCACCAUAAAUUACGUUAUAGUAACCAAAUCAAAAUCACACACAAAUAUCCUCCUUUCUGAAACAAUCUAUGAAAUGAAAAAUAAAUUAAACUAUGCAAAGAUCAAUAUUCUGCCUCCAUAAUCUAAAACCACCCUCAUAUAUACAUAUAAAUAAGGAACUCGGCAACCCUUUAUUCCGACUGUUUAACAAAAACAUUGCCUGUAGCAAUUUUCUAUUACAGGUACACCCUGCCCAGUGUUAUUAUCAACGGCCGCGGUACCCUGACCGUGCAAAGGUAGCAUAAUAAUUUGCCUUUUAAUUGAAGGCUAGUAUGAAAGGGCAAACGAGAAUAAAGCUGUCUCAUUUCUAUCCAUAAAAAUUUAUCUUCAGGUGAAGAAGCCUGAAUUUCUAUAAAAGACAAGAAGACCCCGUCGAGCUUUAGCUUAAUAUAUACUCUUUAAUCACCUAACCCUAUCCUCUUCCAUAUAUAAGCUUUUGUUGGGGCGACAACGGAAUAUAUUAAUCUUCCGACUUACACCAGACCCUAUGUCAUCUAAAAGAUCCUCUACUGAUACUAAGAACUAGCUACCGCAGGGAUAACAGACUAAUCUUCCUCCAGAGCCCAAAUCUACAGGAAGGCUUGGCACCUCGAUGUUGGCUUAGGAAAAUCCCCUAGAUGAAGCAGUCUAGGAAGUGGGUUUGUUCAACCCUUAAUAUCCUACAUGAG